GGGGAAAAAAAAAUAUAUUAAAACUCUAUGAUCAAGUUACACAGAACUAUAUCUCAGUUUCCUCAAAGCAGUGCCAAAAGGUGAUAGUCCAGAGGCAAACCAUUUCAAAAACAGAAUGUGAUCUUUGCUUCUCCUCCUCCCCUCCAGCCACACUGAAAUAGAAGACCUGAAAGCAACCUCAAAGGUUUCAUGAUUUGACUGCUCCAAGAAGGGAAAAAUAAAUUCAAGACCACAGAAUACAAGUAAACAGAAGCUGACUGGGGAAUCUCAAGAACUCAGGACAGCCUCAAACUCACAGGAAGUGUUCUUCUGCUCCAAAACUGUUUCAUUUUUCCAAAUCUGCUUGCUCUAAAAACUGUUUGUGCCAGCUUCCAGAAGGUGAAGGCUUCUGCUUCUUCAUUUGUUUGGGAUUAGCAAUAAAUUCAGACAAGUCCUCCCUCCCCUUUCAGCUCUCCCCAGCCUAACAACACGUUGUAGACCUCAUACCACUGGACACUGCAAAAAAAAAAAAAAAAAAAAAAAAAUGCCUGCAGGGACUCAACAGAUUGAAUGAAUCAAUAGGGCACAGCAGGAAGCACAGCAUCCAGAUGCAGCUCUCAGCUGUAUUGCAUCACCCAUUCCUGGAAAGGAGGUAGGGAACAGACACUAUGCUUUUUUAUUUUCCCUCCCCAUUAUUAUCUAUCCACUGCUGAAGACAAAAUACCUGGCUAGAGGCACCUCUUAUCUGAUCACACAGAUAACCAAGGCAUAUAUGUCAUUCAUCAAUUCCUAUCAAUUCCUCUCUAGACACCAGAAGUUUUAAUCCUGUGCUUGAUUUGAUAAGAUGAAUGGGCUCUGUGCCAGAGAAAUGGGGACACAGAUGAGCUCUGCCUCUCGUGCUUUCUAGAGUUCAGAGGACACAUCUCACUUCAUCUUUUUGUUACAAUUGCAGCAGCCUGAAUUACUCACAAUUUAACCAUUCUGGAUAUUUUAGAGAUAUGGGCCUUGUUGGAGGUCAGCACUGCAAUCCUACCAAGGAGAAAAUAGGUUUGUUAAAGACUGUACUUGGGAUAAUACCUGAAAAGACCGAUCUUGCAGAAUAUUAAGAGCUUAUUCUGAUGAACUGAAAGCGCUUU
rnacentral:lncRNA from 1 species